rnacentral:rRNA from 1 species
GAUCAUGGCUCAGGAUGAACGCUGGCGGCGUGCUUAACACAUGCAAGUCGAACGGGAAACCUUUUAUUGAAGCUUCGGCAGAUUUAACUGGUUUCUAGUGGCGGACGGGUGAGUAACGCGUGGGUAACCUGCCUUGUACAGGGGGAGUAACAGUCAGAAAUGACUGCUAACUACCGCAUAAGCGCACAGGACCGCAUGGUCCGGUGUGAAAAACUCCGGUGGUAUAAGAUGGACCCGCGUUGGAUUAGCUUGUUGG